rnacentral:rRNA from 1 species
AACGAACGCUGGCGGCAGGCCUAACACAUGCAAGUCGAGCGAGAAAGGUUCUUCGGAACUGAGUAGAGCGGCGCACGGGUGAGUAACGCGUGGGAACGUACCAUAUAGUACGGAAUAGCCUCGGGAAACUGGGAUUAAUACCGUAUACGCCCUUAGGGGGAAAGAUUUAUCGCUAUAUGAUCGGCCCGCGUGACAUUAGUUUGUUGGUGGGGUAAUGGCCUACCAAGACUACGAUGUCUAGCUGGUUUGAGAGGAUGAUCAGCCACACUGGAACUGAGACACGGUCCAGACUCCUACGGGAGGCAGCAGUGAGGAAUAUUGCACAAUGGGGGAAACCCUGAUGCAGCCAUGCCGCGUGUGUGAUGAAGGCCCUAGGGUUGUAAAGCACUUUCAAUGGUGAAGAUAAUGACGGUAACCAUAGAAGAAGCCCCGGCUAACUUCGUG